UUUAUGAUCCGAUCUGACCUGAUGUCACCCCUAGUCGGCAGUGGCCAUGACCUCAUUGCCGACGGUGAGGAGGGGCGAGUUUGGGUAGAUCGGAAGUGAGGAGCUAGAGGAGGGAGUCGAAAGCCGACGUUAGUGUCGGGGUUCGGCCGCCGACGAGUGGAUCUCACAAUGAAGAGGAAAAGGCACCGUCGGGGUCCUCGAGGAGACUGAGAGACUGAGAGAGAGUCUCAGAUGGGAUAUUAAAUAUUUUUAAUAUAUAUAUUAUAUUAUAUUAUCAGAUCUCGGAUCUAUUGGGUCUAGGUAUUAAAUAUCCAGACUCUACCCGUUUAUAUUAUGUUUUAUCGGGUCCGGAUCCGG
rnacentral:lncRNA from 1 species